rnacentral:rRNA from 1 species
AGUUGUGGCCAAACCUCCUUGUCAAAGUUUGAUCUCGUCAGAUCUCCGAAGCUAAGCAAGGCUGGGCCGGGUUAGUCCUUGGAUUGCAGACUGCAGGGAAUUCCAGGUACCACAGCGA